GACAGAGGAGCCAAGCGUUGUCCGGAUUGACUGGGUGUAAAGCGCACGCAGGCGGAUGCGCGCGUGGGGUGUGAAAUCUGGCCGCUUAACGGCCAGGCGCCAUCCCAUACGGCGCGUCUGGAGUGAUGCAGAGGUCGAUGGAAUUGCCGGUGUAGUGGUGAAAUGCGUAGAGAUCGGCAGGAACACCCAGGGGGAAACCAGCCGACUGGGCAU
rnacentral:rRNA from 1 species